GAAUUUACCCUAAAAAAGUACUGGACAGAAAUGAUGGGGUGGAGACAAACCGUCCAAUCUAUCUGAGGAAAUGUGCAAAAGACCGAAAGCUCGCCGAUUUUGAAAACAGUCCACUUGGAUUUGGAGAAUGUAUUUAUCUUUUUUUUUUUUUUUUUUUAGGGAGAGAAUGUAUUUAUCUAGUCUUCUUCUUCUUCUUUUUCUUCGAUAGACUGUAUAUAUCUUGAACAUAUCAAGUUAUUGUCAAACACUACCAUGAAUUAACAUUGACCCACUUAGUAGGUAUAUGUCGGUGGUUUGUCAUAUAUAUAUGAUUGCGUCAUUACUCUCUUGGGUUGUUCUUUUUAUGUAGGGGUGAUUUUUAAGGUUUUUUGUUUGAGCUAGUGUUUAUGUGGCAACUAAUUUUCCCUCAUUGUAUUUUUUCAAACCCGAAUUUAUUAAUGCUUCUUGCAUGAGUUUAUUGAUUAAUAAUAUUUAUCGAUUAAAGAAAAAACAAAAUAAACAUUGACCCACUUUGUAGAAAAAAUAAUUUGGCCACAAAUGGAUUAUUUUAUGUAUUUUAGUUUAUAAAAAAGGUAAUAUUAAAAAGAUUAGUGAUCUUAUAAAAUCAUUUUAUGACAAUUCUUAUGACAACAUUCUUAUUCUUAUUCUUAUUCUUUUUCUUUUUCUUUUUCUUUUUCUUUUUUCUUUAUAAGAAAAUACAUCCCAACAUAAAUAUUGUAUAA
rnacentral:lncRNA from 1 species